CCUACGGGAGGCAGCAGUGAGGAAUAUUGGUCAAUGGACGCAAGCCUGAACCAGCCAAGCCGCGUGCAGGAAGACGGCCCUAUGAGUUGUAAACUGCUUUUGUACGUGGGCAAAGGCAGAUACGCGUACCCGUCUGAAAGUAUCUGACGAAUAAGGAUCGGCUAACUCCGUGCCAGCAGCCGCGGUAAUACGGAGGAUUCAAGCGUUAUCCGGAUUUCUUGGGUUUAAAGGGUGCGUCGGCGGUCGGGUAAGGUAGUGGUGAAAUCCCGAGGCUCAACCUCGGAAUUGCAGUUGAUACUGGUCGGCUAGAGAGGAGUUGCGGUAGGCGGAAUGUGUGGUGUAGCGGUGAAAUGCUUAGAGAGCAUACAGAACACCGAUUGCGAAGGCAGCUUACCAAGCUACUACUGACGUUGAGGCACGAAAGCGUGGGGAGCAAACAGGAUUAGAUACCCCUGUAGUC
rnacentral:rRNA from 1 species